GACGAACGCUGGCGGCGUGCUUAACACAUGCAAGUCGAACGGAAAGGCCCUGCUUUUGUGGGGUGCUCGAGUGGCGAACGGGUGAGUAACACGUGAGUAACCUGCCCUUGACUUUGGGAUAACUUCAGGAAAAUGGGGCUAAUACCGGAUAGGAGCUCCUGAUGCAUGGGGGGGGUUGGAAAGUUUCGGCGGUUGGGGAUGGACUCGCGGCUUAUCAGCUUGUUGGUGGGGUAGUGGCUUACCAAGGCUUUGACGGGUAGCCGGCCUGAGAGGGUGACCGGCCACAUUGGGACUGAGAGACGGCCCAGACUCCUACGGGAGGCAGCAGUGGGGAAUAUUGCACAAUGGGCGGAAGCCUGAUGCAGCAACGCCGCGUGCGGGAUGACGGCCUUCGGGUUGUAAACCGCUUUCGCCUGUGACGAAGCGUGAGUGACGGUAAUGGGUAAAGAAGCACCGGCUAACUACGUG
rnacentral:rRNA from 1 species